rnacentral:rRNA from 1 species
AUUGAACGCUGGCGGCAGGCCUAACACAUGCAAGUCGAGCGGAUGAAGGGAGCUUGCUCCUGGAUUCAGCGGCGGACGGGUGAGUAAUGCCUAGGAAUCUGCCUGGGAGUGGGGGAUAACGUCCGGAAACGGGCGCUAAUACCGCAUACGUCCUGAGGGAGAAAGUGGGGGAUCUUCGGACCUCACGCUAUCAGAUGAGCCUAGGUCGUAUUAGCUAGUUGGUCGGGUAAAGGCCUACCAAGGCGACGAUCCGUAACUGGACUGAGAGGAUGAUCAGUCACAUUGGAACUGAGACACGGUCCAGACUCCUACGGGAGGCAGCAGUGGGGAAUAUUGGACAAUGGGCGAAAGCCUGAUCCAGCCAUGCCGCGUGUGUGAAGAAGGUCUUCGGAUUGUAAAGCACUUUAAGUGGGGAGGAAGGGCAGUAAGUUAAUACCUUGCUGUUUUGACGUUACCAACAGAAUAAGCACCGGCUAACUUCGUG